AUACCAUUGAUUAAUAAGCCUGAUGCUAAGUGGAUUUUGUUACUACGGACCAUGGAUAUCACACUGAAGUGAACACUACUACUGAAUAACCAGUGUUCACCAGCAAGACAACGGGAGAAAUCUCUGCACUAUGAACCUUCUUUUCCACUCAUGUUUUAUGGAGCAGCUCGUGCAAAGAGUUCAGUCAGAUGACUAAUCUACAGUGACCUGGUUGGAAUUGUGACCCCCACAAGCAGGGUUCAUGAGGUCCCUUCUACUCUUAGAUGUUGAGAGGGUUAUAUGUAUACUACGCACAUUACUAAUAUGUGAAAUGAGAGAAGGAAGCAGAGGUCACACUCCACGUGUGCUUGAGGAUGGUCAGCUAAGGAACGCUGGUGUUUGCACGAUGCAGAGGAGCCACAGAGAAGUCUGUCUGCAUCCACUGUUUCCUUCAGUAACGUAGAUUUCCUCCACAUCAGAAACCUCUCCACGAAGGACAACUUCCAAAAGCCAUUCCUGGCUCUUCUGAUCCUCUGAAGUCAUACCAAAAUGGGGGAUGGUGGGGGGCACUUUGAAGAGGUGUACUUCAAAUGUCAAGAUAUUUUUCAUUCUUUGGAAAUUAUAGAUAUGUGCACAGUGUAUUUUGAUCAUAUCCA
rnacentral:lncRNA from 1 species